rnacentral:rRNA from 1 species
GAUGAACGCUAGCUACAGGCUUAACACAUGCAAGUCGCGGGGCAGCAUGGGGGUUGCUUGCAAUCCCCGAUGGCGACCGGCGCACGGGUGAGUAACGCGUAUCCAACCUGCCCUUCACCACGGGAUAACCCGGCGAAAGUCGGACUAAUACCGUAUGUUGUCCAUUGACGGCAUCCGAUUUGGACGAAAGGUUUGGCGGUGAAGGAUGGGGAUGCGUCCGAUUAGCUGGACGGCGGGGUGACGGCCCACCGUGGCGACGAUCGGUAGGGGUUCUGAGAGGAAGGUCCCCCACACUGGAACUGAGCCACGGUCCAGACUCCUACGGGAGGCAGCAGUGAGGAAUAUUGGUCAAUGGGCGUAAGCCUGAACCAGCCAAGUAGCGUGCAGGAUGACGGCCCUAUGGGUUGUAAACUGCUUUUAUGCGGGGAUAAAGUGGCCCACGUGUGGGUUUUUGCAGGUACCGCAUGAAUAAGGACCGGCUAAUUCCGUG